rnacentral:rRNA from 1 species
AUGAACGCUGGCGGCGUGCCUAAUACAUGCCAAUCGCGCGAACAGACGAGGAGCUUGCUUCUAUGACGUUAGCCGCGGACGGGGGAGUAACACGUUGAUAACCUACCUAUAAGGCUGGGAUAACUUCGGGAAACCGGAGCUAAUACCCGAUAAUAUAUUGAACCGACUGGUUAAAUAGUGAAAGACGGUUUUGCUGUCACUUAUUGAUGGAUCCGCGCCGUAUUAGCUAGUUGGUAAGGUAACGGCCUACCAAGGCAACGAUGCGUAGCCGACCGGAGAGGUCGACCGGCGAAACUGCAACUGAGUCACGGUCCAGAAUCCUAAGGGAAGCAGCAGUAGGGAAUCUUCCGCAAUGGGCGAAAGCCUGACGGAGCAACGCCGCGUGAGUGAUGAAGGUCUCCGGAUCGUAAAACUCUGUUAUUAGGGAAGAACAAAUGUGUAAGUAACUAGGCACGUCUUGACGGUACCUAACCAGAAAACCACGGCUAACUACGUG